UAGAGAUCCAUGCCUGGCUAAGGUCCUUCUAGGCCUUUCAGAGGUGCCAAGUGUCUUGCUGAUUCACUUCUGCUAAAACCUGGUCUGCUGAACAUGAACUUGAAAAGAGUAAUCAGUUUUGCAGUUGUUGAUUGUGCAUCUACUCAUUUCCUCUAUUUUAAGAGUGCUGUGAAAGCUGUAAUGCAUCAGCUGUGAAUGAACCUUGAUGGAGCCAGAAGGCAAAGGACUGAAAGGGCUCUUAUUUGAAAGUAACAUGAAGCCAGGUCUUCAGGGCCACUGACAGGCGAAGCACCGCAUUUGGUGAAGGCACCAAAUUCUCUUCUCUUCUGAGUUCUUGCAUGUUCUUGAGCAAGCUGUCUGCCUGCUGCCGUUUUACUGACCUGCAGUGUAGGUCUCACAUGUACUUUUUACAUGCAGUUUCCAGUAAUAGUAAACAUAGAUAUGCGAAGACAUUGAAUAUUUUUCUCUAUGCAAAAUAGCUGGAACUUCUUAAUUUGCAAAGUAUUUUGUUCUUUACUGCUUGUAUGUGCAUUUUGGUGUUGAAGAAUUAAGAUGUACUGUAGAGUUCCUGAGGAAUGCUUGUAAUUAACAGUUUGACUUUAAAUCACAGCGUGCUGGGCAUAAUUAGCAUUCAAUGUUUCUGUAUGAUUAAAA